ACCUGAUGAUGUGGCCAUUUACAAAGUAGGUCCCUAAAACGCUCCCAGGUCUCAAAGAAAAGUUCCUUAUCCAUUUGUGUGAAACUAGUGAUUACCCUUCGUUGCU